UCCAUCCUGGGUAACAAAGCAGAAAAAAUAAUCAAUGAUAUGGAGAAACUGAACCCUCAUAUAUUGCUGGUGGGAAUGUAAAAUGAUGCAAUAAUUUUAGGAGACAGUCUGGAAAUCCCUCAAAAGGUUAAACAUAGUUAUGACAUGACCCGGCAGUUCCACUCCUAGGUAUAUAACUAAGAGGUGAAAACAUAUGUCCACAUAGCAAUGUGUACAUGAAUGUUCGCAGCCUCAUUAUUCAUCAUAGAAGGUGGAAAUAACCUACAUGUCCAUCACCUGGUGAAUGGAUACAUAAAACGUGGCAUAUUCAUACAAUGGAAUAUUAUUUGGCAGUGUAAAGAAAUA